rnacentral:sRNA from 1 species
AAGUCAUCGGUGCUGGGUUCCUAGUUUUUUGCGAGUGCGAACUGCUAGGGAUGCAGAAACACAGUUGCCAAGAACCACUUGGCCACGGCAGAAAAUUUAGAAUUAUGAGCAAUUACCGGAAGCAGAGGAAGAAUUGCUGCGGCCAGCACUGAUGCUGGGAAAUGGGGCUGAGAAUGCGCACGCACAGCGGGAUGAGUGGAUGGGACCACGUGACCUGAGCACCAGCUCUAGACUCACCCUCCUUCCGUUAACCUUGAGUACCAGCUCUGAGGAAGGACAGGGAGGCUCUCCUCGCCUAUAGCCUUCUCUGUCUGUAAGAGAAUACCUGAGAUUGGAUAUUUUAUAAAGAACAAGGGGAUGGCUGUGUAGCCAUUUCCUUGAAACUGGAAAGUUGCUCCCAGGGGAACGACGGGGUCCUUUGAGAACUGAGAAGCUACCUGAGUUGAAGGAAGGUGAAGUAAAAUUCUCUAGCGCCCUGCCCACAGAAUUAGGGCAGCAGCAAACACCUGCUGGAGAGAACAGCGGUCCAGCUCGGGUCUCCCAGUCUACUUAGCUGCCUUCAAGUCAGGCAGUGAGCUCCGGGGUUCAGCUUUCCGGAGUCAUCACCCAUGCUGGGGUGGGUGUUCAGCGAUGUAGCUCUCUUUGUGUUUCUGAGAUUGGGGACUAUUGACAAGUUGGGAAACUCCUGAGUGCUUAUAACUAGAUUUCUUCACAAAUGGAAAUACCAGGCCAAUAACGCGUUCUCAGCUGCAGCUGCCACAGACAACCCAAGGACCACAGAACACACCGUGUUCUGGCUUCUCUUCACAUGACUCAGGCAAGCGAAGUCCAGACACACAGCCCCGGUUGUUUGAGACCAUGUCACAAAAAGGACACUUGAGAUGGCAGUUGUACUGGUGACUUUCGAAUAUUUGCUGACUGUCGAGUUAACUCUUGUAAUCCCAGAAGUAGUUGUUUGAUAUUAGUAAUUCUAAGUCAAGCUUUCCCACAGGAAGCAAAGAACAAAAUAUUAAAGGCGAAUGUUUGCUGACAGCC